UACAAAUUUUUGAAAAUUAAAAAUCGUAGUGUCAUAGAACGUCACACAAAAUUUUAUUUAUCGCCUCAAAUAUUUCCGUUUCGCAGAAACACGUAACUAAAUAUUUCACAUCCUUUCAAAUAGAGCAUUGUUAUCUUAUCAGAAAAAAAUAAUCCGCUUAGUGCGAGGUAUAAAUAAACAUUUCCCUCUUAUCGCAUUUUAUUCUGGAAAUUCCAUAGUUAAACGUUUGUGUUUAUGCGUCGGUGAUUAGUGGACACAUCUACAAACUAUUUCACCUUAAGUUGGCAGCAUAUAACACUCUUUAGCAAUGCAUGUUAAAACAGAGUCCUCACGGCCAUGUUGUCGACUGUUAAAAGCGCAUCGUUUUCUAAAGAAAUCACUACAAUUUAUGAUGAAGUUUUUAAAUUUGCAUUGAUUUUUUUUAAAUAAAAAAACUUCAUCUGUGUAAAAUUCAUAGCGACUUCUUUAGAAAUUCGGUGGGUUUUUAACAGUUUGCAACACCGCCGCGACUUCUCUCACAUGCGAUGCAUUACUAAUGGGUUUUGUGCAUUACCAACUCAAGCUGGAGUAAUUUCUACAAAAAUCACUGGCCCUGAAAAUCGACGGAUCCUUGGAACCAUCUCACCUUCCUUUACAAGCCUCGAGGACAACUGUUGAACAUUUAGCGAAAGUCGCCGCUUACGUGUAACGCCGGCUUUCACUAAGUGUUCGACAGUUGUUCGUUCGAGGCAAACUACAGUACCUACCAUUCAAAAUCCCCCAAAAAUUUUCUGAUGUUGAUGAAGAUUUAGAAGAAAGAAAUGGCACGCCCCACUACAACGGAUAAAUGAAGAGAAAUAAUGAAGGUAAAAAAUUGAAAAUAGUUUUAUAUUGAUUUUAGCAUUCUCAUGAAGUUAUGGUUCUGAACAACUACAGAACAAGCGAUGAAGACUGUAUAUUUCUAGAAUUUUGUUGAGAGUUGACAACCCAGCCACCUAAAAGAGACAACCGUCUUCAAGAAAUCAAGGACCUUUUGGGACCCUUGAAAGAAACCCAGCCCCCAACUCUCAAUGGAAUGGUCGUGGGAAUAUCGUUCGAUUAAUAUUUUAACAAAAUGUUAGUUUUGUAAGAUUUUUUUCUUUGUGUUACUGUAAAAGAAUGAACUAAUAUAUUUUGUGAUGAGCAUA